CUGCGCAUGUGAAAACAUCCCCUUGCAACCUCCAACCCUGGGCAAGACAGAACAGGUUAUACAUCGUUAUUGAUCAUAGACAUAAUAUUGUUGGCAGUGUUAAAAAAUUACUACAAAAAUAUGGAACUCCACUAAUUCAGAUGAAUAUGCAAGAACGUGCUUACAUAUAUAGUAACCGAUAAUAUAGAAUCGAGAGGAUGACAUGUAAUGGAAUCAGAGAAAGAUUUAAAGCAAAAUUUUAUAAAAACGAACCUACAAGCAAAGCAAAUUUGUAAAGUUCCUCAGAGAUUUAAAAACUGGAUCUGUGUACAAAUAUUUGAACAGAAAGUUGAAAAAACUCUCGUGGGAGCAACCAAGCGUAUGCAAAGUGUCGACAAUUAUCGAUUCGAAAUACAUUUUAUAUAGAUUAAAUAUUCUAAAAACGGUUUAAGAUUUCUAUAGAUAUCGAUAGCAUAUGUAGAAAUAAAGUUAUAAUAAUAAAUAAAGUUCUAAUCUAUAUUUGUUCAGUAUU